rnacentral:rRNA from 1 species
GACAGAGGGGGCAAGCGUUGCUCGGAAUCACUGGGCGUAAAGGGCGCGUAGGCGGUCUUGCAAGUCCCGUGUGAAAUCCCUCGGCUCAACUGAGGAACUGCACGGGAAACUGUUUGGCUUGAGUUCGGGAGAGGGAAGCGGAAUUCCGGGUGUAGCGGUGAAAUGCGUAGAUAUCCGGAGGAACACCGGUGGCGAAGGCGGCUUCCUGGACCGACACUGACGCUGAGGCGCGAAAGCUAGGGGAGCAAACAGG